UACGUAGGGUGCGAGCGUUAAUCGGAAUUACUGGGCGUAAAGGGCGCGUAGGCGGACAGUUUAGUCAGAGGUGAAAGCCCAGGGCUCAACCUUGGAAUAGCCUUUGAUACUGACUGUCUUGAGUUCGGGAGAGGUGAGUGGAAUGCCGAGUGUAGAGGUGAAAUUCGUAGAUAUUCGGCGGAACACCAGUGGCGAAGGCGACUCACUGGCCCGAUACUGACGCUGAGGCGCGAAAGCGUGGGGAGCAAACAGG
rnacentral:rRNA from 1 species